rnacentral:rRNA from 1 species
UUUUUUUGGAAAGUAUAACCUGCCCACUGAAUUAUUUAAAUGGCCGCAGUAUUUUGACUGUGCAAAGGUAGCAUAAUAAUUAGUUUUUUAAUUAAAAGCUUGUAUGAAUGGUUGGACGAGGUAAAUACUGUCUUUAAAUAAUUUAAGUAGAAUUUAAUUUUUGAGUUAAAAAGCUCAAAUAAUUUUAAAAGACGAGAAGACCCUAUAGAUCUUUAUUAUUUUAAUUUUAAAAUUAUUUUGAUUUUUAAAAUUUUUAAUUUUAAAAUAAUUUUAUUGGGGUAAUAUAAAGAUUAAAGAAAUUCUUUAUUUUUGAAAACAUAAAUUUAUGGUUUUUUUGAUCCAGUUUUAUUGAUUAAAAGAUUAAGUUACCUUAGGGAUAACAGCGUAAUUUUUUUAAAGAGUUCAUAUCGAUAAAAAAGAUUGCGACCUCGAUGUUGGAUUAAAAGUAAUUUUAGGUGCAGAAGCUUAAAGUUUUGGUCUGUUCGACCA